CCUUUCACGCGGCUUCGGCUUCUUAGACACGCUUUACAUCCGUAUCAUUCAAAAACCCUAAUUUUCUUUAAUCCUCCUGAACAUCUAUCCUUUUUCCCCUAUUUUCUUUCAUCAAUCUCCUGUUUUUAUCAAUGACGACUUCAUCUAUUGAAUUCAUCUAUGUUGAUUUCCUCAAAUCUUCAUGUAACCCUAGAUCAAUCAUCGCCUCUAUCACAACAAAAUAGAACAAAUGUCGAUCAACAACUCCAGCGUUUAAUACACAUAUUUGCUUUCGUUUGUGCAAAUCUUCUUUUUUUCAUCCCUACUGAUUAUUUUUGCUUAUGAAGAUCUGGAAACUGGGACAAAAUGCCCUAGCCGCCGCCGCUUCCAAGCAACAAAAGCUAGGGUUCCGACAAGUUGAUGCGGAGCCAAUUCAGUUGACAGGUUUGCAUUUUAGUUUAUCUUUUGAUUUUUGGUUGCCAUUGAUUUUAUUUAUUAAAAAGUGUUUCUUAUUCUUUGUUUCUUCACAUUCAUCUCACGGCGUCUAUUUGAGAAACCCUAAUACACCGCUGGAAGAAGCAAAACCGGUAAAUAUAACUGGAAGUGAAGACCCGAGGACAGAUGUAGCUCCAACUGUAACUCCUAGGUUUUUUCAAGAAACUGAGGGAGAUACUCAGAAUCUUGAAACAGCUGUAGUUGUGUUGGAUUCGAACACCGUGCAGAGUGAGGAAAAACAGUUGAGAAAAAGGAAGUGCAAUAUAAUGAAUCACAUGCAAGUAACCAUGAUUGAACAGGCUUUGCAGAAUGAGCCUGACAUGCAGCGGAAAGCUGCGUCGAUACGAUCAUGGGCUGAAAAACUUAGUCUUCAUGGUUCAGAACUUUCUUCCUCACAGCUGAAGAAUUGUUUGUUGUGUAGAUAGAAAUGAGGAAUAUGAUUUCUGGAGGUGGCUGUGUGGCUAAUAGUUUUGCGCUCUUAUCAGUUUGUUUCAGAUCAUUUCAAAGUUAUACAAACUGUUCUUGUGAUUGAUUUUCGGUCAAGUUUCGAUUGCAGUUUAUACAAAUCAGUCUCUUUUCUCAACUGAUCACAACAAUCCCCAAGGAUUCUUGAGCAGAUCGGUUGCAACUGAGACGAGAUCCUAACAGUACAUGGUGGUCAAGGUUGGUUCCGACAACCCGAUUCCGAUUUAGCGGCCGCAUGUAUAUUUUUUGAGAACAAAGUUCUGGAGGCUUUAAUGAUGAUUCUAACAGCUGAAGUAACGAUUUGCGACACCAUAAGGGGCUAUUAACGGAUAUUUGUUAUGUGAAAGAAUAUGUGGUGUUCAUAUUGGCUUUAAACCUGACCCAUGAACAAAAUCUGAAUCCUAUAUAAUCUCUUAUAACCCGUUCCUUAGCCCUAUUUUCCAUCGUUUUUUGUUUACCUUUUCAUCUUCUAUGUGAAAACCCUAAUUUCGAAAUCGUUGUCAUCCAUUUUCAUCUUCGCGGAAUGUUUAUCUUACUGUUAUCUUCCUCUUCAUCGAUUUUUAUUUAUGGAAAUUCCGCAUAUCGGUGGCCAUCUGGAUCCCUUUCGUCCGUCACGCACCGUCGACAAAGUUUCAGCCAGACUGCGUCCGAAGCCAGAGGAAGAUCCCUACUGUAUCGGAUUUCUAUGUUCCUUUCGUGCCAAUUUCAGACUCAAGACUGACCAAAACUAAAGACCAGGACAAAAUAGAAGUAUUAAUGGUAUCUUCACCAAACCAUUAUGACAUGGUAUUUCCUAAGGCUGAAUACAAGUCUGUGAAGAAAGCAGCAAUUGUGUUUUUCUUCUCAAUAACGAUUCCAUUUGGGAUCGCUCUUGGGAUCGCGUUGUCGAAGACAUACAAAGAGAAUAGCCCAAGUUCAUUAAUCAUAGUUGGUUUACUCAAUGCUUCAUCAGUUGGACUUCUUUAUCUACAUGGCAGUGGUCGAUUUCAAAUUAAGUCUUAUGCAACCGUCUUACAAGGAAACGACAUAAAUGUUAAUGAACAUAACGAGCCAAUUGCGAGCUUGGAGAGAAUUAGGGAAGAAGAGAUUCCUAGGGACACUAACCCAUUGGCGAUUGUGGCGGAUAAUAAUCCGAGAGUGGCAUCUCCGACUAGAGGUGGUGGCGGGAUGAGUUUGGUUAGUACUGAUCGUAUCAGCGAUGUUUCGUCAGUCCAGCGAGUGAAGAAAGAGGAGGUGGAGUCGAAGAUAUUGGCAUGGCAGAACUCUAAGAUUGCAAAAAUUAACAAUUGCAACACUUGAAAAGAACUUUGCUGUUGAUCCGGAUUCAUUAUCCAAUAUUGUAGAUGAUAAUGCAACAUCUCAGCUAAAGAAUAAUGAGAGUACGAAGAGUCAUGUUGAUCUGAAACGUGCCUUGGAAGAUUGUUAUGAUUUACACAACUCAUCUUCAUUUUCUGCCACAAAAAAGUCAAAAAAUGUGAAACAAAAGAUGAUGUCAAGGCUAAAUCGAAAGACAAACUUUUGAUUCCUAAAAUUGAAAAGUAGCUCGCCUACUUUCAACUUCAAAACGGUAACAGUUUAUUUAAGCUUAUGAUGCUUUUAUUUACAACCAAAACUAGGGAAUUUAUGUUGUUUUUUUUGUAUGGUAUGUUGACUUUAUAUUAUUUUGAUGGAAAUUUUUUUUCCCAUUUAAAGUAUUUAUUAUCAAGAAAUA